UUCAUCGCGGCAGCCAUGUUCAUCGCAUUCCUGGAAUAACUCUAGACGGGCUGGCAGUCCUGUAAAGAGAUAGGGGGUGGAGGGCUGGGUGUCCAUUUGUAUGAGCUGAUGCAAGCACUUUGGAGCCUCGGGAGAAUUAACCAGGCGUCUGCCACCUGACCCCGUUGACUCCGACCAUCCUGGGCUCAGCUGAUACGCGUGCCGUGUGGCCCUGACAUGAGGAAGACAAAAAAGCAGGAGGAGUGGGAGGAGGCCUGAGGACAGAAGGACCAGCAGGCAAUGAAUGAUUAUGAUGACUAGGGCCAUCUUUCUGGCCUCAGCCCCCCCAGCAGAAACCCUGGCCUUGGCUCUGUCUCUGGCUCUCACAUGGACUAGUGAUCUGGCUUGGGUCGGCAUGGGUCGGUGUGGGUGAAGUGUCACCACCAGGCAGGGUCUGGCCUGUCAGCUGUUGGGGAUGACAGGAGGGGAGGAGAGGAACGGAGAGGAAAGGCGAGGAGAGAUGUAGAUUAUAAAGGAAUGGGGAGAUUUAUAAUAAGUGAGGAGUGAGGAGAAUCAUGAAGAGACAAUUGGUGAGCAGAGUGAAGUCAUGAAAAGCCAACCGGGAGAGAAGAGAUAAUAUUGGAAGGAGCAUACUGAGACAAUGGCUAAAAGGGAACAGGUUUUGUGGAGGUGUUAUAUCUGCCAGGCCUUAUGCAACCUACAGAGCUCACACAGAUGGCACGACUGCUGAGAAAGUAGGGUAAACAGUCCCAGCUAAUGACUUGCCCCCUCUUGACUCAGUACAGUGAAGUGAAAGAGCAAAUAAUUGGAGAAAGCGUUUCCUCAUAGGGAUUAAGAAUGUGUCAGGUCAACCACUGUACAGUGGAGAGGGUAAGUGAUCAGGGUAAAUGUGCUUAAUGUGUGGGCUCAUAUAUUCACGGCAUCUUUUCACAGUGCUGUUGGCACUGUCAGAUCUCUCCAAGGCAGUGAUUACUUAAGGGGUAGGCAGUUGCAUUUGAGGCUGAGGAUACAUGUGUGGGGUCAGGAUGGGGGAAAGACCUGCAUGUUCUUCACAGCAUAGCCUGGGAGAAAUGCAAAGAGAUGGUAUAUGGAAAAGACAAAGAUAAAAAGGUGUAUUGGUCAUCUUGCUCAUAUUGAGCAUUCACAAAUCUCACAUUCUCAAACAACAGCCUCUCUUACAGCACAGUAACAUCGGAAAGUGAUACAACAAACUUUAUUCAUUGAUUACAUUGAAAUUAAUUGGAAAAUUGGAAUUUAGUUUUUAUGAAUGUAGAUCUGACUGAGCCUCAACAAUGAAAUGGCUCAUUUUGAUUCAAUGGUUCAAUCCUUAUGAGGAAGUAGCUGUUUUUACCCGAUUUCAAGGAUUUUCCAUAUAAACAAGACAUCUUCUAUUGUCUUGAAAGGAAUUUUAAAUUAAAAUUUGCAAAUCAUUUGAUUUGCAUGGUGAGAACUGUUCCUGAGUUAAUGUUAAUAGGUUAAUGGGAGAGGGUUACAGCUUGUAGAAAGCUAUAACUCAGUACAUUCAGACAGUCAUUCAGUCAGCCAGUAGGUCAGGUCAGCUGAUUUGCUGUGUAACAGUCCUGCUGGUGUGAUUAAAGGGGCUGUGACAAAGACGCUGAAAGGCGAUGAAGGGGGGCAGUGGCCAGCUGUCACACAGAGGGACCAUAAUGACCACGGCAAAUCCCACCACCGUCUGAGCCUGUUUCUUCUUUGACUUCAGCCUCCUGCUAACUGACUAGUCAUCUCUUUGUUAACCUGUCACAUAGCUGGUUGACAAGAUGAGUUAGAUAGGACGUUGUUGUCACAAUCAAAGGUUUAGUCUGGAUUGAUUCAUUGUAUGGGUAAAUCACUGAAUACAUACUAGAUUUAGAUUACACUUAUUGCUAGAGUUACAUGUUGAAAUAAUAAAAGAAUGUGCCAUGACAGAGAAAUCAUUAGUUAUUUGAAAUAAGAAUGUGUCUGCAAUGAAGACCUGUGGUAGUUCAUGCAUUCACAGAAGUCAUUAAAAGUCACAUAUUCCAUACAGUGUAGUACACAGUAACUUAACUCCCACCACCUCCACAGCCUUCUCCUGCAUCAGCCAUUAGAUUCAUGUUAAAUCACCAUGUUUUCCAUUCAAUAAAUGUUAUGUUCAUUUGACUGUUUUGUAUCCCAAGCUCUGCAGGGAGCUUUUUGUGCUCAGUGACUAUGUAAUGCCAGCACAGUGCCAAAAUAGAAUGUGAAUGUUAUUGAUGUUAGAAAGUUAUUGUUGCAAAAUUAAUUAAAACCUUGAUAAAAAGUUUCUUGACUGAACUGUAACAUAAUAAAGGUGAUUCAAUAUGUCACAG